CGACGCUCAACCGCUGAGCCAAGCCCAGCCGGGCUCAAGUUACUUAUUGUUUAGUUGAAGAGACCACAGAAACAGUUGAGAAGUUUAAUAAAUAAUAAAAUUUAAUAUAUUUUUUCUCUUUUUUCCCCCCUCUAGGCUCCUGUUGUAUGUAAAUCUUGUGGUUAUGUGUUUAUUAAUAGGAAACUUCUAAAAAGAAAACAUUCAAAGAAAUCAUCACCUUUUACAGAUUGUUCCAUUAUUUGUAUGUUGUUCUGAGGUAUGAAUCCUCAUGUGACCCCCUCAUCACAGCGGUUUUGAGCCUCCUCUCACUUAUGCAUUUGGGAACUUCUUUUGCUUUUGGAUUUAGGUCUGUAUUAAAACAAGUUUUGUCUUUUGGUUGUAGCUUAACCAGCAUGUUUGUUUGAAGUGGAAGAGGUGGCUUCAUGCAUCAGUUAAAUCUAUAUCAACAGGAAACCUUUCUUCUCAACUUCUGUUCCAUUUAGGAACAACAGGAAGUGAAAAAUACCAUGUCUUUGAAAGAUUUGCGAAUACUUUUUUUAUAUGAAUUUAAACUAGGACAUAGUGCAGCCACAGCAAGUAGAAACAUCAUUUCUGUCUUUGGAGAAGGCUAUGUUAGUGAAAGGACUAUCUGGUGGUCGUUUGAAAAAUUUCGGUCUGGAGAGCUGAGUCUGAAAAACGAGCCUCGAGGAAGACCCAGGUCUGUUUUAAAUGAAGAUGAGUUGAGAGUCAUGGUGGAAGCUAACCGCAAAACAGCAAUUCGAGACCUUGCAGUAGACUUAGGAGUUUCUGCUACAACAAUUUCUCUACACCUGGCUGCAAUCGGAAAGGUGAAAAAAUUGGACAAGUGGGUAACAGCAGUUGAUGGACGAUCAUAAGCUGAGAUGGUUAAAGAUAUGCUCCUUAAGAUUUGAAAGAGCAGAGACCCUAUGAGAGCAUCAUAAGCUGUGACAAAAAAUCAAAAGUUAUCUGGACAGUGAUUGGAUGUUGAUGAAGUUCCCAAAUGUGUUAAAACUAUCGUUCAGCCAAAAAUGGACUUGGUAACUGUUGGUGGUAUGCAAAAAGGGUAUUUCAUUACUGCUUUAAAAAAAAAAUUUUUAUCAUUGAAAGUAUUACAGAUGUCCCCCUCUUUUCCCCCAUUGACCUCU